rnacentral:rRNA from 1 species
GACGGAAGGUGCAAGCGUUGCUCGGAAUCACUGGGCGUAAAGGGUGCGUAGGCGGCUUCUUAAGUCUGGUGUGAAAGCCCAGGGCUCAGCUCUGGAAGUGCACUAGAAACUGGGAAGCUUGAGUACCGGAGGGGAGAGUGGAAUUCCUGGUGUAGCGGUGAAAUGCGUAGAUAUCAGGAGGAAUACCGGUGGCGAAAGCGACUCUCUGGACGGUUACUGACGCUGUGGCACGAAAGCGUGGGGAGCAAACAGG